UGGGGAAUAUUGCACAAUGGGCGCAAGCCUGAUGCAGCAAUGCCGCGUGAGUGAAGACGGCCUUAGGGUUGUAAAACUCUUUCGCUAGGGAAGAUAAUGACGGUACCUAGUAAAGAAACCCCGGCUAACUCCGUGCCAGCAGCCGCGGUAAUACGGAGGGGGUUAGCGUUGUUCGGAAUUACUGGGCGUAAAGCGCACGUAGGCGGACCAGAAAGUUGGGGGUGAAAUCCCGGGGGCUCAACCCCGGAACUGCCUCCAAAACUAUUGGUCUAGAGUUCGAGAGAGGUGAGUGGAAUUCCAAGUGUAGAGGUGAAAUUCGUAGAUAUUUGGAGGAACACCAGUGGCGAAGGCGGCUCACUGGCUCGAUACUGACGCUGAGGUGCGAAAGUGUGGGGAGCAAACAGGAUUAGAUACCCUGGUAGUCCACACCGUAAAACGAUGAAUGCCAGUCGUCGGGUAGCAUGCUAUUCGGUGACACACCUAACGGAUUAAGCAUUCCGCCUGGGGAGUACGGUCGCAAGAUUAAAACUCAAAGGAAUUG
rnacentral:rRNA from 1 species